UAGCUCUGAAGUACUUAAUCACUAUUAUUUUUAAUAGAUGCACAGUUUUCAAACUUUCUCACAUUUAGUUGAGGUGCAGCUCCUCUCUGUGGCCUUACUUAAACUAUCUUGUUUUCUUGCAGGUAGCACAGACAACCACUACUCGUACUACUGAGCGGAGGAAGAAGAUCUAGUAGCAUAAUAUUUGGUACUUAGCAAUCAGCUUGUUGUAUUUGGUUUUACCUACCAGAAUAUUUGCUAGUGAAAAAUUAUGAGUUUAAUAACAAAUGUCGACUCCAA
rnacentral:lncRNA from 1 species